rnacentral:rRNA from 1 species
CCUACGGGUGGCAGCAGUGGGGGAUAUUGCACAAUGGGGGAAACCCUGAUGCAGCGACGCCGCGUGUGGGAAGACUGUCCUCUGGAUUGUAAACCACUGUCCCCAGGGAAGAAAAUGACGGUACCUGACUAAGAAGCCCCGGCUAACUACGUGCCAGCAGCCGCGGUAAUACGUAGGGGGCAAUCGUUAUCCGGAUUUACUGGGUGUAACGGGAGCGUAGACGGUCCUGCAAGCCAGAUGUGAAAGCCCGGGGCUAAACCCCGGGACUGCAUUUGGAACUGUAAGGCUAGAGUGUCGGAGAGGCAGGCGGAAUUCCUAGUGUAGCGGUGAAAUGCGUAGAUAUUAGGAGGAACACCAGUGGCGAAGGCGGCCUGCUGGACGAUGACUGACGUUGAGGCUCGAAAGCGUGGGGAGCAAACAGGAUUAGAUACCCUGGUAGUC